GUACUGGCUUUAGCAGCACAUAUACUAAAAUUGGAAUGAUACAGAGGAGAUUAGCAUGUAUCCUGCACAAGGAAGACAUGCAAAUUCAUGAAGGGUCCAUAUUUUAA
ensembl:snRNA U6 U6 spliceosomal RNA